UUGGAGGGCAAGUCUGGUGCCAGCAGCCGCGGUAAUUCCAGCUCCAAUAGCGUAUAUUAAAGUUGUUGCAGUUAAAAAGCUCGUAGUUGAACCUUGGGCCUGGCUGGCCGGUCCGCCUCACCGCGUGUACUGGUCCGGCCGGGCCUUUCCUUCUGGGGAACCUCAUGCCCUUCACUGGGCGUGUUGGGGAACCAGGACUUUUACUUUGAAAAAAUUAGAGUGUUCAAAGCAGGCCUUUGCUCGAAUACAUUAGCAUGGAAUAAUAGAAUAGGACGUGUGGUU
rnacentral:rRNA from 1 species